rnacentral:rRNA from 1 species
AGAGUUGAUUAUGGCUCAGGAUGAACGCUGGCGGCGUGCCUAACACAUGCAAGUCGAGCGAUUCUCUUCGGAGAAGAGCGGCGGACGGGUGAGUAACGCGUGGGUAACCUGCCUCAUACACAUGGAUAACAUACCGAAAGGUAUGCUAAUACAGGAUGAUAUAAGAGAUUCACAUGGAUUUCUUAUCAAAGCCCCGGCGGUAUGAGAUGGACCCGCGUCUGAUUAGCUAGUUGGUAAGGUAAUGGCUUACCAAGGCGACGAUCAGUAGCCGACCUGAGAGGGUGAUCGGCCACAUUGGAACUGAGACACGGUCCAAACUCCUACGGGAAGCAGCAGUGGGGAAUAUUGCACAAUGGGCGAAAGCCUGAUUGCAGCAACGCCGCGUGAGUGAUGAAGGCCUUCGGGUCGUAAAACUCUGUCCUCAAGGAAGAUAAUGACGGUACUUGAGGAGGAAGCCCCGGCUAACUACGUGCCAGCCGCCGC